rnacentral:rRNA from 1 species
AGUCGAGCGAGACCUUCGGGUCUAGCGGCGGACGGGUUAGUAACGCGUGGGAAUAUACCCUUCACUACGGAAUAGCCUCGGGAAACUGGGAGUAAUACCGUAUACGCCCUUUGGGGGAAAGAUUUAUCGGUGAAGGAUUAGCCCGCGUCUGAUUAGAUAGUUGGUGGGGUAAUGGCCUACCAAGUCUACGAUCAGUAGCUGGUUUGAGAGGAUGAUCAGCAACACUGGGACUGAGACACGGCCCACACUCCUACGGGAGGCAGCAGUGGGGAAUCUUAGACAAUGGGCGCAAGCCUGAUCUACCCAUGCCGCGUGAGUGACAAAGGCCUUAGGGUCGUAAAGCUCUUUCGCCAGAGAUGAUAAUGACAGUAUCUGGUAAAGAAACCCCGGCUAACUCCGUGCCAGCAGCCGCGGUAAUACGGAGGGGGUUAGCGUUGUUCGGAAUUACUGGGCGUAAAGCGCACGUAGGCGGAUUGGAAAGUAUGGGGUGAAAUCCCAGGGCUCAACCCUGGAACGGCCUUGUAAACUCCCAGUCUAGAGUUCGAGAGAGGUGAGUGGAAUUCCAAGUGUAGAGGUGAAAUUCGUAGAUAUUUGGAGGAACACCAGUGGCGAAGGCGGCUCACUGGCUCGAUACUGACCCUGAGGUGCGAAAGUGUGGGGAGCAAACAGGAUUAGAUACCCUGGUAGUCCCCCCGUAAACGAUGAAUGCCAAACCUCGGGGGGCUUGCCCUUCGGUGUCACCCCUAACGGAUUAAGCUUUCCCCCUGGGGAGUUCGGGCCGCAGAUUAAAACUCAACGGAAUUGACGGGG